ACUAUAGCUCAGUGGUAGAGCAGCGGUUUUGUAAACCGCCGGUCGUUGGUUCAAAUCCGACUAGUG
rnacentral:tRNA from 1 species